rnacentral:rRNA from 1 species
UACAGAGGUGGCAAGCGUUGUUCGGAAUUACUGGGCGUAAAGGGCGCGUAGGCGGUUCGUUAAGUCCUGUGUGAAAUCCCCCGGCUCAACUGGGGAACUGCACCAGGAAACUAGCGGGCUUGAGUUCGGGAGAGGGAAGCGGAAUUCCGGGUGUAGCGGUGAAAUGCGUAGAGAUCGGGAGAACACCGGCGGCGAAGGCGGAGCAUGCCCUGGA